rnacentral:lncRNA from 1 species
UAAUGCACCAUCUCCUGAUGUUCCUGGUGUUCUUACACUACACUGAAAGCCGAAUUCACAUGCACAUAAAAUGCAACCAAAAUGUAACUCUUCCUUGUGAAGCAGUUAAUAAAGGUCAAAGCUAUCGGUCCGUCGUCUGGUUCAGGGUACAGUACCCUUCCUCCAACAACUCAAAAGAUAAACCUGAGAGAACUGGAAUUAUCUGGAAGAGAAAAGGCAACAUAACAAGCAGAAAUGGAUCUGUAGUCGAUCUGUUAAAGAAUGAAAGCUUGUUCAUUCAACAAGCAACGCCCCUUGAUGCUGGAACAUAUGAGUGUUGGUUAUGGGCAAACCUUGGCAAAACUGAUCAGGCGUCUUACGUCAAUUUAACAGUAUCAGCUUGUAUUAUUCCACAGACAAAUCUUCUCAUGCCUACGCCCUCUGAACCUUGUGCAGAAACUUUAGUGGAGUUUCGCACUGAUUGGGUGAUCAUGGGCUUCAUCACUUUAGGUCUGUGCAAAGUGGCCCUCUGUGUCAUCUCAGUUAUGAUGUAUCGAAAACUUAGAAGAAUCAGAAUGAAACGCAUCCAUUCCAUCAGCUGACCCAAGACACCAGUUCUGUGCAAAGACCUGGUUCUUAUUGAUGGGUCACCACUUCAUGCACAUGUAAAUUACUGUAAAUCGAUAAUAAUAACACUCAAUAAUAAGUGAUUGUUUCAUUCAUGUUCAUGCACAAAUUCCAAUUCCUUGCAUGUGUGCACUAACAUUCUUGGCCAAUAAAAGCUAUUCUUUUGGAAAUUGACA